rnacentral:RNase_P_RNA from 1 species
CCAGUUGACCGGGUGGCCGCUCCGCGCAAGCGGGGAGGAAAGUCCGGGCUCCAUCGAAACACGGUGCCGGAUAACGUCCGGCGGGGGCGACCCCAGGGAAAGUGCCACAGAAAGCAAACUACCCCGGCCUCGGCCGGGGAAAAGGUGAAAGGGUGCGGUAAGAGCGCACCGCGGACCCCGCAAGGGGGACGGCAUGGUAAACCCCACCGGGAGCAAGACCAAAUAGGGAUGACACGGGGCUCGCCCCAGCCGGUUUCGUGGCCUGUCGUCCGGGUUGGUUGCUAGAGGAGUGCGGUAACGCACUUCCCAGAGGAAUGGUCACCACGCGGGGGCAACCCCGCCCUACAGAACCCGGCUUAUAGGUCAACUGGCAUU